GGGAGUGGAUGGGUCCCCCGGGGGGCCUUGCGGACUUCAACUCCGUUGGCGUGCGCCCUUCGGUGUGCGCGGAGGGUUCGACUCCCUCGCACUCCCGCCA
rnacentral:tRNA from 1 species